rnacentral:rRNA from 1 species
CCUACGGGAGGCAGCAGUGGGGAAUCUUGCGCAAUGGGCGAAAGCCUGACGCAGCCAUGCCGCGUGAAUGAUGAAGGUCUUAGGAUUGUAAAAUUCUUUCAGUAGGGACGAUAAUGACGGUACCUACAGAAGAAGCCCCGGCUAACUUCGUGCCAGCAGCCGCGGUAAUACGAAGGGGGCUAGCGUUGCUCGGAAUUACUGGGCGUAAAGGGAGCGUAGGCGGGUUAUCAAGUUGGAGGUGAAAGCCCAGGGCUCAACCUUGGAAUAGCCUUCAAAACUGAUAACCUAGAGGAUGGAAGAGGUAAGUGGAACUCCGAGUGUAGAGGUGAAAUUCGUAGAUAUUCGGAAGAACACCAGUGGCGAAGGCGACUUACUGGUCCAUUACUGACGCUGAGGCUCGAAAGCGUGGGGAGCAAACAGGAUUAGAUACCCUGGUAGUCCACGCUGUAAACGAUGAUUGCUAGUUGUCGGCAGGCAUGCCUGUCGGUGACGCAGCUAACGCAUUAAGCAAUCCGCCUGGGGAGUACGGUCGCAAGAUUAAAAACUCAAAAGGAAUUGACGG